rnacentral:tRNA from 4 species
GCGGAAGUAGUUCAGUUGGUAGAACAUCACCUUCCCAAGGUGAGGGUCGCGGGUUCGAGUCCCGUCUUCCGCU